UUUCUUUUUUGUAGAAUUUGUUUGCAAAUAUCAAUGGCCCAGUUAGUAUGGCCCUUGUUCAAGGAUGAUAUGCAUAAUCGAGAAAUGGUCCCAUUUUUU